rnacentral:snRNA from 1 species
UGAAGAUAAUUAUGAGUAUAAGC